rnacentral:tRNA from 1 species
CCGUUGUGUAGCGGCCUAGCACGCCGCCCUCUCACGGCGGUAGCGCCGGUUCGAAUCCGGUCGGGGGUA